CUAACGGCUGAACCAGCAACUUGGAGGAAUGUAUAGCAUUAGCUAAUUAUAUUUAGUUAAAUAUAAUUUCGACUAUGUCGUAUAAAAUUCUAGGUAGAAUUAUGAUGAUGACAUUUUCUAUCUAUGUGUCUUGACCAAAUCUCGUGCCAGCAGUCGCGGUAAGGCGAGAAAGACUAGUGUUAUUCAUCUUUAAUAGGUUUAAAGGGUACCUAGACGGUAUUUCUAGCCUACUUGGUACAGAUAUACUAGAGUUUAAUAUGUAGGGGGGUAGUAUUUCUGGUGGAGAGAUGAAAUAUUGUAAUACCUUAAGGACUGGUAAAAGCGAAAGCAACCUUCCAUGUAUAAACUGACGUUGAGGGACGAAGGCUUGGAAAGCAAACAGGAUUUGGUACCCAAGUAGCCCUUGCAGAAAAUAAUGAAUGUCAUAGAUUAGAUUGGAUCAAUUUAGUCUAUAAAUGAAAGUGUAAGCAUUCCACCUCAAGAGUAAUGUGGCAACGCAGAAACUGAAAUCAUUAGACCGUUUCUGAAACCAGUAGUGAAGUAUGUUGUUUAAUUCGAUGAUCCACGAAAAACCUUACCACAAUUUGUAUAAUAUUUACAAGCGUUGCACGGCUGUCUUCAGUUAAUGUCGUGAGAUUACGGUUAGUUCCUUUUAAUUAACGUAAACCCUUACUUUUUUUAUUUUUUUAUAAAAAAGUAGUACACCGCUACAUUGGUGAAACUAAGAGGGAUUAAGACAAGUCAUCAU
rnacentral:rRNA from 1 species